AGCGAACGCUGGCGGCAGGCUUAACACAUGCAAGUCGAACGCCCGUAGCAAUACGGGAGUGGCAGACGGGUGAGUAACGCGUGGGAACAUGCCCUUUGGUUCGGAAUAACCCAGGGAAACUUGAGCUAAUACCGGAUAAGCCCGAGAGGGGAAAGAUUUAUCGCCGAAGGAUUGGCCCGCGUCCGAUUAGCUAGUUGGUGAGGUAAUGGCUCACCAAGGCGACGAUCGGUAGCUGGUCUGGGAGGAUGAUCAGCCACACUGGGACUGAGACACGGCCCAGACUCCUACGGGAGGCAGCAGUGGGGAAUAUUGGACAAUGGGGGCAACCCUGAUCCAGCCAUGCCGCGUGAGUGAUGAAGGCCCUAGGGUUGUAAAGCUCUUUCGGCGGGGACGAUAAUGACGGUACCCGCAGAAGAAGCCCCGGCUAACUUCGUGCCAGCCGCCGCCGUAACAC
rnacentral:rRNA from 1 species